UCUAACUCACCAUCAUCAUCAAAAUUUGACUCAUCUUGAUCAUAGGACUGCUGCUGAUCAUUACUCGGCAUUGCUAUAAUGGUGGUGCUUUCACUUUCUUUAAAGAGAUGCUAAUUGCUUUCUCAUCACAGGGUCUGUGGUGACCUUGACUUUCUUCUUCUCUGCGCUACGGCAGGACAUGACAGACUGGUAUUUUUGACUGGGUAGGGUUUAUUAAUGGAGGAUUUUCAGACAAAGUUUGUGGCUUCCUCGUUGCUAAUUUCCCAAAUGGGUUUCACACUGUAAUAAAAAACCCAGAAAGGAUGAGGAGAAAAUAUUGAGUUUCGAGUCGUCAGUUACCUCCAUCGAUGGCGGUAAUUAGGAACAGAAUAUGCUAAUCACUGUGCAGAUUUCUAUUAUCGUUCAUCGUGAUUCCCAAGCAAUUUCCUCAGAAUCUGAAAUCGUGUGACUUUAGUGGAGAGAAAGAGAGGGUGUCAUUGAAAUGCAGAGAAAUAAAG